rnacentral:misc_RNA from 1 species
ACCUACUGUUUAAUUUUGAGGGUUCGUUUUUACGAAUACUCAAAAUUAGCACUUUUAGCAACAGAAUAAACUGAACGCAUGUGAAGUUUGUUUGUUGGCGACGUGCUUUAGCACUUUGAAAACUGCAUAUAUAUUUAGUGAUAUGACAUCUAAUUUGUAAUAUAUAAAGCUGAUAACUUUUUAAAAUUAUCCAAGUUGAUAGCUUCUAAUCUAUCAAACCUUUUUAACUGGUCAA